AUCAAACCUGGAGAGGAAGAACCAAAUCAAAACAUUGUUGUCAGGCUUUACACUGGACUCUGAGCCUCCUUCCCUUCCAGCACCAGUUGGCUUGGGGUUUAUUUCAGUGGCGAAUCUUGCACCGUGCUGCACCUCUCGCCAUCCUGCAGAGGGGUGGCUGCUUUGAUGGAGACGGAAGGACAUACCCACUCGCUGGCUCUAUGACUUUUCUGCAAGUCAGAAAUGCUCAUGGAAGCAUCCUCUUCACCUUCUGGAAUUUUCUAUCAUUUGGCUUCAGGUACAGCAUCAGGACAAUGCAAAAGGCGAAAUCAACAGCCUGUUCUAACAUGCCAAAAAAAUUCAGUGAUAAUGGAAUCCACAGGAACUAACAGAUAUAUUCAACUUCUUACAUCUAACCUAAAACUUCUGUAAUCACUAUAUUCUACUGAAGGGGGGUAAAAACUUAAUAAGCUUUUAAAUACUUUUGAAAACAAAGAUCUAUAUAGAGAAUACAUGCAUAUAAAUUGAGCACAUCAGUUGAUGAAUUCCUCUUUGGUAAACCUUUUCUCCCUUCCAAAUUCAUCUGGAUGAUGUCAAACAUUAAAGUUCCUGAAACCA